rnacentral:rRNA from 1 species
ACAAUCGGUGGAGCAUGUGGUUUAAUUCGAUGAUACGCGAGGAACCUUACCAAGACUUAAAUGUACUACGAAUAAAUUGGAAACAAUUUAGUCUAGCGACGGAGUACAGGUGCUGCAUGGUUGUCGUCAGCUCGUGCCGUGAGGUGUAAGGUUAAGUCCUUAAACGAGCGCAACCCUUAUUAUUAGUUGCCAUCGAGUAGUGUCGGGGACUCUAA